GAAAUGGGAUGCUGGUGAUUUCCAGGAAGUGACCUCACAAUGACUCAAGCUACCACUUACUGUUGAUUGUGAUGAAAUGCCAGCUGAGGCACAUGCCUUGGGAGCUAAGUGGUUGCUGCCCUUGACCACUAUGAAGACUGGUGUGGGAAGGGUCGCUUUGGAUGCACUUGAGCAGGGGUCCCCAACCCCUGAGCCAUGGAGCCAUAGGGAGCCACACAGCAGGAGGUGGGACCAUCCAGUUUCAGGAAAACAAGCUUAACACGCCCACUGAUUCUACAUUAUGCUCCUACGUCCCGGCAGCCUCUCCAGGCCCAGAACUUUCUCCAGUCAGCCUCUACAGACCAAGCUCAUGACUCACAAUGGCCUAUUUAGGCCUAUACCCUACCUCACGGCAGUCUCCGCAGAUGAGCCUACUGCCUCACAACAGCCUCCACAGGCACAGCUCCAUCGUUACAAUGGCCUCUUUAGACCCAGCUCCUGCCUCCCAGCCUUCUCUCCAGGCCCUGAGCUUUCUCAAGUCGACCUCACCAGGCCCAGCUCAUGCUUCUUUGCAGCCUCUCCAGGCCCAGCUCCUGCAUCUUGGCCCCUCCAGGCCCAGCCUCUGCCUCCCGUCUGCCUCUACAGUCCCAACAUCUGCCUCACAGCAGAUUCUUCAGGCCCAGCAUCUGCCUCACUGUGGACCCCCCAAGCCAAGCUCCCAACCUUUCAGCAGCUUCUACACACCCAGCUCCCGCCUGCCAGUGGCCUCUUCAGGCCCAUGGGGCUCAUUCCUCACAACAGCCUUUCCAGGCCCAGUUUUUCCCUUCCGGUGGCCUCUCUGGGCCGAGAACCUCCUCAAGUCGGCCUCUCCAGACCCACUUGCACCCUCCGGGCGUCCUCUCCAGGCCAAGCUCCUCUUCCUGGCUGCGUCUCCAGGCCCGACUCCUGCCUCUCAACAACCUCUUUGGACUCAGUGCCUACCCAUCUCCUGGCGUCCUUGGUCGGCCCACAGCUUCCUCAAGCCAAGCUCCCCAGGACCAGGUCAGGCCUCACGGUGCCCUCUCCAGGAUGAGCUCCUGCCCUCCGAUGGCACGUGCAGGCCCCAAAUGGUCUCCGGUCGGUGGGCUCCUCCACGCCAAGCUUGGGCCUCCCGGUGACCUCUGCAGGCCCAAGUUGUCCUGAAGUUGGCAUCUCCCGGCCCUGCCUCCCAGCAAGUAAGCAAGCUCUUUUGGCUCAACUCCUGCCCAGCUCCCAACCGCCUUUGUGGGCCCCGAACUUUCUCCAGCCAAGUUCUUCGGGCCUAAUUCCUGCCGCCCGGUGGCCUGUACGGGCCCAGCAAUGGUUGGAGAACGGCCUCUGCAGGUCCCACUCUUGCCUCCCAGGGGCCUCUCCAGGCCCAGCUCUUGACCCCACGGCGGCCUCCCGGGGCCAAGUCCCUGCCUGCCUCCCAGCAGCCCGCGUGCAGCCCAGCUCCUCCCUCACGGUGGCCUGUUGAUGCCCAUGCCUCUGGUACCCUGCCCAGAGGCAUGAUCCCCUGCCACACACUGGCUCCUCCCACGCUGAGAGAGGUCAGCGUGAGCCCUUGCCUCACACCGGCCCCUCCCACGCUGAGAGAGGUCAGCGUGAGCCCCUUGCCUCACACCGGCCCCUCCCAUGCUGAGAGAGGUCAGCGUGAGCCCUUGCCUCACACCGGCCCCUCCCACUCUGAGAGAGGUCAGCGUGAGCCCCUUGCCUCACACCGGCCCCUCCCACCCUGAGAGAGGUCAGUGUGAGCCCUUGCCUCACACCGGCCCCUCCCACGCUGAGAGAGGUCAGCGUGAGCCCCUUGCCUCACACCGGCCCCUCCCACGCUGAGAGGUCAGCGUGAGCCCUUGCCUCACACCGGCCCCUCCCAUGCUGAGAGAGGUCAGCGUGAGCCCAUAGCCUCACACCGGCCCCUCCCACACUGAGACAGGUCAGCGUGAGCCCUUGCCUCACACUGGCCCCUCCCACGCUGAGAGAGGUCAGCGUGAGCCCUUGCCUCACACCGGCCCCUCCCACACUGACAGAGGUCAGCCUGAGCCCCUUGCCUCACACCGGCCCCUCCCACGCUGACAGAGGUCCGCGGGAGCCCCUUGCCUCACACCGGCCCCUCCCACGCUGACAGAGGUCCAUGGGAGCCCCUUGCCUCACACCGGCCCCUCCCACUCUGAGAGAGGUCAGCGUGAGCCCCUUGCCUCACACCGGCCCCUCCCACCCUGAGAGAGGUCAGUGUGAGCCCUUGCCUCACACCGGCCCCUCCCACGCUGAGAGAGGUCAGCGUGAGCCCCUUGCCUCACACCGGCCCCUCCCACGCUGAGAGAGGUCAGCGUGAGCCCCUUGCCUCACACCGGCCCCUCCCACGCUGAGAGAGGUCAGCGUGAGCCCUUGCCUCACACCGGCCCCUCCCACGCUGAGAGAGGUCAGCGUGAGCCCCUUGCCUCACACCGGCCCCUCCCACCCUGAGAGAGGUCAGCGUGAGCCCUUGCCUCACACCGGCCCCUCCCACGCUGAGAGAGGUCAGCGUGAGCCCCUUGCCUCACACCGGCCCCUCCCACCCUGAGAGAGGUCAGCGUGAGCCCCUUGCCUCACACCGGCCCCUCCCACCCUGAGAGAGGUCAGCGUGAGCCCUUGCCUCACACCGGCCCCUCCCACCCUGAGAGAGGUCAGCGUGAGCCCUUGCCUCACACCGGCCCCUCCCACCCUGAGAGAGGUCAGCGUGAGCCCUUGCCUCACACCGGCCCCUCCCACGCUGAGAGAGGUCAGCGUGAGCCCUUGCCUCACACCGGCCCCUCCCACGCUGAGAGAGGUCAGCGUGAGCCCUUGCCUCACACUGGCCCCUCCCACGCUGAGAGAGGUCAGCGUGAGCCCCUGCCUCAACAGGCCACCGUGAGGGAGGAGCAGGGUCGCACGCGGGCUGCUGGGAGGCAGGCAGGGACUUGGGCCUGGGAGGUCGCCGUGGGGCGAGAGCUGGGCCUGGAGACACCCCUGGGAGGCAACAGCGGGGCCUACAGACUCUGUUCUCCAGCCGGAGCUGGGACUGUUCAGGUACUGGGAGGCGGGAUGUGGGUCUGAAGAGCUUGGUUGCAGAAACUUCGGGGUCUACAAACGCAGGCGGGAGCUGAGCCAAAAAAGCUUGUUUGCUGGGAGGCGGGAGAUGCAGCCAGGAGGAACAGCUGUGCCUGCAGAGGCCGCCAUGCGGGAGGCGGAGGCCGGGCCUCCUCAAAUCGGCCUCUCCAGACCCACUUGCAGCCUCCCGGCGUCCUCUCCGGGCCCAGCUCUUCCUCCCGGCUGCGUCUCCAGGCCUGACUCUGGCCUCCCAACAACGUCUUUGGACUCAGCUCCUGCCCAGCUCCCAGCGGCCCUGGUAGGCCCACCACUUCCCGAAGCCAAGCUCCCCAGGCCCAGCUCCGUCCUCUCGGCGGCCUCUCCAGGUGUAAAACUUCCUCGAGUCAGCCUCCCCAGGCCCAGCUCCUCCUGCCUCCCAGUGGCCUCUUUCAGCCCAGACCAGCUCAUGGCUCUUGGCGGCCUUCCCAGGCCCCGCUUUUGACUUUUGGUAGCCUCUUCAGGCCCAGAACUUGACCUCCAGUGGGCCUUUGCAGGCCCGGCCUCCUGCCUCUCGAAGGCCUGCACGGGCCCGGACUCACAGCGGACUCACAGCGGACUCUCCAUGCCCAGCUAGCUCUUGCCUCAUUGCAGCCUCCCUAGUCCAAAGCUCCUGCCUCUCGGCCGCUUCGGCAGGCCCAGCUCCCGCCUGCCAGUGGCCUCUUUAGGCCCAGCUCAUUCCUCACAACGGCCUUCCCAGGCCCCGUUUUUCCCUUCCGGCAGCCUCUUGGCCUCUAAUUUGUUUAUCUUUUGUGUAUAAAUCCCAAAAUAUUGAAUUUUGGAAUAUUUCCACCAUUAUGUAAA